CAUCUGGAAAGAUGAAUCAAAGAAGGUAAUAAUCCUGUAGUCGAAAAUGUUGUCUCUCUUGAGUGGAUCCUGAGUACGACGGAGCACGUGAAAUUCCGUCGGAAUCUGGGAGGACCAUCUCCUAAGGCUAAAUACUCUCUAGUGACCGAUAGUGAACCAGUACCGUGAGGGAAAGGUGAAAAGCACCCCGGAAGGGGAGUGAAAUAGAACCUGAAACCGUGUGCUUACAAGUAGUCAGAGCCCGUUAAUGGGUGAUGGCGUGCCUUUUGUAGAAUGAACCGGCGAGUUACGAUUUGAUGCAAGGUUAAGCAGUAAAUGUGGAGCCGUAGCGAAAGCGAGUCUGAAUAGGGCGUUUAGUAUUUGGUCGUAGACCCGAAACCAGGUGAUCUACCCUUGGUCAGGUUGAAGUUCAGGUAACACUGAAUGGAGGACCGAACCGACUUACGUUGAAAAGUGAGCGGAUGAACUGAGGGUAGCGGAGAAAUUCCAAUCGAACCUGGAGAUAGCUGGUUCUCUCCGAAAUAGCUUUAGGGCUAGCCUCAAGUGAUGAUUAUUGGAGGUAGAGCACUGUUUGGACGAGGGGCCCCUCUCGGGUUACCGAAUUCAGACAAACUCCGAAUGCCAAUUAAUUUAACUUGGGAGUCAGAACAUGGGUGAUAAGGUCCGUGUU
rnacentral:rRNA from 1 species